rnacentral:lncRNA from 11 species
GUUGACUCUACAAAGGAAGAAACCCAAGACUUUUAGAAUGUUUGCUCUUCAAAGCAUUGAGUGCUUCUGUUGAUUUCAGUGCUGAAACUCAAGGCAGCUUCACUUCUACCCAUGUCAAACACAAAAACACAGUGGGACUUCAGAAUUUCCUUAUGUUUGAGGUAUAAAUCUGAGUCUUGUUUAGGUUUUUAAAAUUAUGCUUUGCUGGAAGAAAUAGCUAAA